rnacentral:rRNA from 1 species
AACGGCCAUACCAUGCUGAAUAUACCGGUUCUCGUUAGAUCACCGAAGUUAAGCAUCAUUGGGCGCGGUCAGUACUUGGGUGGGUGACCACCUGGGAACACCGCGUGUCGUU